UCUCGCCCGGAGGAGUAGGAGGAGUGAGCCAACAUGGAGGACCAGGCAAAGAUAACCUAGUGUGUGGCCACCUUCUUCCCCACUUUUCCUAAUGUUGGACUCCGAGAAGUUACCGAUACACUCACUAGGUGGUUGUAGAAGGUGUACGCGAAAGCUUCAAGCCAAUUUGAAGCUUUCGAUGCCGUUUUAAUGGCACUAUGAACCUAGACUCGCUAACUGCUGCUUUGUCUCAUAUUGGUAAUCUGGUCGCCAGUUUGACAAAGAAAAACCUGAACUCUAGUGCACAAGAGAUUCAGGAAGUGGUACGUCAGUUUGGUGGAGAGGCAGAGCGACAUUUGUACCGGGUGUUGAUUGGUCACCUGGAGUGGUCUGGGUCUCAGGGAGGAGAUAGCCACCGGCCUUCACCAAAUAACAACAACAAUAACAACAAGGAUAAGGAGGCUGUGAGCAGUGUGGGUGUAGCCUCCCUCACCUGGUCAUCUACCAACGGGGGGGCGAGUGCCCUCCUUCUCCAGCAUCUGGGGGCCACUCUUCCUUCUUCAACUUUUAUUGCUAGUCUUGCAUUUGCCAUAGCAAACCCACCAAAUCCCAACAAGGUCAAGCCACAGUGGGUGAGUGGCGUGUGUAGGGCUUUGAAGCUCUCCCGUCUUCAGGAGGUCACCCUCUGCUUGUACCUGCUUCAGGAAACCAACCAAGAAGUACGAAGUCAGUCCAUUGCCAUCCUCAAGCUUAAACUUCCAGAUCUUGUUCGUGCAUAUACUGAUACAGAAUCUGAGGAUCGUGAACUAUUAGAGCUUUCAACAGAAGCUCUACAUCUAUUGUUGACACACAUUGUACAUUUGUGGAGGGAUCCACCAGUGUCCCUCUUACCUCAGGAGUCAAUACAGGCUUUCAUAUCUGCACUCCAACGAGAGUUUCCUCAAUCACGAGUACCUGUGGUUUUGGCUCCUUUGCUUUACCCAGACUCGGACAUCCUCAUGGAAAAGAUGACUCAAGAACAACCUUCUAAUAUGGCCAAAAACCUACUGGAUGGGUCAUUAGCGGACCUGGUGCUUGAACUGGGCUAUAGUUUCUGUAAUACUGUUGAAGAAUGUCGGAACAACUUGGCCAACUUUGGGGUGAACUCCAUAACCCCAGCAGCUGUGGCCAAGGUGUUGGGUGUGAUGGUGCGCACCCAUACUGGUCUGCCCUCAGAACAGAUUGGACUGCAAAACCUCAACACCCCCAGUUCCUUAUGGAGUGACAGCAAAGACAAAGCUACUAAUAGUCAGUCACAGUCAGGUGGAAAUGAAGUUGGUGUACCAGGCUCAGGCAGCCUCUCGGGACCUCACGGCUGGAACGUUGAGGUGUUCAUCAAGGGCCUGUUAGAAGUUGUACCCAAUUUGAACGUUAAGGAAAUCUUCACCAAGCUGGACCAUAAAGGAUUCUUGGUCAAAGACAGACAGGGCUUAAAACUUCUCAUGACUGGUCUGAGGUGUCUCCUUCAAGGCCAAGGAAUACGGCUUGAUUUAUUUCCGGUGGAAUGCUUCUAUCACCAGUGGAAGAAUACAGAAGAGCAACUCAAUCUCAUCACACAAAUACUCAAAAAUCCUGAAAUAUUUUGCUUUACUGACUUUCACUGCCACAUGAUCUCAACUGAUUGCCUUAAGACCCUUCCAGAAUUGGAUAAUAAAGAGGUUGCUACUUGGAAGUCUGUUCAAUUGCUAGAAAUCCUCCUGUAUUUGGGUGAAGCUGGCCACUACACAUCUGUGAAGGAGCUCUUUAAAUUUCCUAUCCAGCAUUGUCCAGAUAUUCUGGUGUUAGGCUUAGUGCAGGUCAACCUGCCCUACACAAUGUUGCGACAAGAUCUCAUCACCUCACUCAUCCCAAUAUUCCUUGGAAAUCACCCGAAUGCUGCCAUCAUCCUACACCAUGCCUGGCACACACAGAACCACACGAACACUGUGCGUCAGAUCAUCAUGCAUGCCAUGUCUGAAUGGUACAUGAUGGUGGAAAACGACCAGACAAGAUUGAGUCGUAUCCUAGAUGUGGCACAGGACCUCAAAGCUUUAUCUCUGCUCCUCAACGCCCAGUCUUUUCCUUUUGUUGUGGACUUGGCUUGCCUGGCUUACAGACGUGAGUUCUUAAAGUUGGACAAAUGGUUGACCGACAAAAUUCGUGAACAUGGAGAACCAUUCAUAUCAGCUUGUGUAAAGUUUCUUCAGCGGAGGUGUCCCCAGCUGAUGGGAGGGAAGGAAGACAUGUUGCCCAAGUCCUCCCAACUACCUCCAGAGACAAUGGGGACCAUCCUUGUUUGCCUCAAUGCUUGUGCCAUGAAUGUGUCCCAGGAACUGUCAGACACCAUAAUCCAGAUGUUCCAGAAUUGUAACUUGAUGAACAGAAGAACACAAGUUGGUGUGAUUGGCUUUCCUGGUCCUGGACCAACUCCAUCCAAUGAAGGUCCAUUGGGAAACAUAACAUCCAGCCUCAGCAACUUGAACCUUGGUGGUGCUGGUGUAUCCUCCUCAAUUUUCCCAACCCCUGUCUCGUCUUCGAUGAGCUUUGGAGGGAUAGGAUCAAUUGGGGCAGCUCCGGGCUCCCCAGGUCGUCCCCUUGGACCCUCUACUGCACCAGGAACAUCCCAGUCUCCUUUGUCCUCCAUAUUGCCUAAUCUUCCUCUGGGACCAGCCCUUCCUGUGGCACCAGUGGGAUCUCAACUCCCUGCACUGCCUGCCUCCUCCAAUCUGCCCUCCUCACUGAGGUCUCACUCAGUCCAACCCACUGUUGCACCCCCCAGACAAAUGGAUAUGUCACAAAUUUUUGAUAUGCCACAGUCAGUAAGCAAGGAGGUAGAAGAUGAGGCCAACAGUUACUUCCAACGUAUCUACAAUCAUCCGCCACAUCCCACUCUAUCCAUAGAGGAGGUUUUAGAUAUGUUGAAGAAAUUCCAUGAAUCUUCAAAUAAGAGAGAGAGGGAAGUUUAUUCUUGUAUGCUGAGAAAUCUCUUUGAAGAAUAUAGAUUUUUUCCGACAUAUCCAGAUAAGGAACUCUUCACCACAGCAAGACUGUUUGGUGGCAUUAUUGAACAGGGUCUAGUUGAAUACAUGGCACUUGGAGUGGCUCUGAGAUAUGUAAUGGAGGCACUUCAGAAGCCGCAUGGCAGCAAGAUGUAUUACUUUGGUAUAGUGGCCUUAGAUAGAUUUCGGAGCCGCCUCAAGGAGUACCCAAGAUAUUGUCAACACCUGAUGGCAAUUCAACACUUCAAUGAAUUUCAGCCACAUUUAAUUGAGUAUAUCAAGUAUGGAACACAGUCCCAAGAACCUCCUACACGUCCCUCUGGGGUGGUUCUGCCUCCUUCCAUCAAUGUUUCCCCAAGUUCAUCUGUGCCUGGAACUUCAUCUUCACUUGUGGUUGCUCCAGUCACUGGUGGAGGGGCUCCCCCACCACCAGGAGUGCCUCCUGCAUCAUCUGUAGCAAAAAGUCUGCCUCCAGCCACAACCACCACCACUACCACUGCUGCAGCUAUUAUCAAGCCUCAGUUACCCUUGGCUGCCAACAAUGCAGUUGGGUCUGGAAAGCCAACAAUUACUACAACCAAUAUUGAGACGCUUCUUGUGGCCACUGAGAAAGAGGAGAAAAUAACACCCCCUCCAGAGCACAUUCAAGACAAAGUUGCCUUCAUAUUUAAUAACUUAGCUCAAGUCAAUUUACCUCAGAAGUGUGAAGAACUACGUGAAGUGGUGGGAGAGGAGUACUGGUUGUGGGUGGCUCAGUACUUGGUUAUGAAGAGAGCCUCCAUUGAAAAUAACUUCCACACUCUCUACUCACUCUUUCUUGACCAACUCAAGAUGAACUCCUUCAACUCGAUGGUCUGUCGGGAGACACUCAGAAACAUCAAGGUACUUCUAAGGGCUGACAAGUCUGUUGCCAACUUCUCAGACAAAUCCUUGCUGAAGAACCUUGGUCAUUGGUUGGGUAUGCUCACUUUAGCAAAAAACAAACCAAUACUUCACACAGAUAUUGACAUGAAAUCCCUGCUGAUUGAAUCUUACAAUAAGGGACUACAGGAGAUGCAGUAUGUGAUACCCUUCGUUGCUAAGGUGAUGGAGUCUUGUGCCAAAAGUCGGGUGUUCAAGGCUCCCAAUCCUUGGACUAUGGCUAUCAUGAAUGUUUUGGCAGAGCUCCAUAAGGAACCAGAAAUGAAACUGCAUCUCAAGUUUGAGAUAGAGGUGCUCUGCAACAAGCUGGAAAUUAAUCUGGAUGAUCUGAAACCAGCUAAUGUACUAAAUGAUCGGGAACGCAUUGCUCGCCUCAAGCCCCAACUCUCACAGCCUGGAGGAUCUAAGAGAGCAGAAUCUACACCUCUCUUCCCAGCAUUGCCAGUCUUUGCUACAGCUUCUUUCAUGCCAAAGACCCCAAGUUGGUCUCAAGCAGUUCCACCAGGUGCAAUUGUGGACACAAACACAGCCAGUGUCCAGAGCUCUUCAGUUGGUGCCACUCCCACCCCACUCACUGUGCUGCCUCCCCAUCCCUCCACCACUCCAACUCCUAUUCAGCCUCAGCAACCACCUGCCUCUGAACCACGCUUUAUUUACUCAGAUAUUAGUGUUGCCUCACUUAGAGGCUUAGAGCCUCACAUAUCUGUCUCUGUACCUCAGUUUCUUCUUCAGGUUUGUGGUGUGGCGACCAAUGCACAAUUAAAGCAGCUAGUUCGUCAUGCUGUGGAGCUAGCCGUCCAGGAAAUUGUUGCAGCAGUCAUUGAGCGCAGCAUCAAGAUAGCCAUCACCACUGCUGAACACAUCAUUAAGAAAGAUUUUGCCCUGGAUCCAGACGAGUCCCGGAUGCGAGUUGCCACCCAUCACAUGGUGCGCAACUUGACUGCAGCUAUGGCCAUGAUCACUUGCCGAGAUUACCUGGCCACCAACAUCACCAAGAGUAUCAAACAGGGACUGAUGCAGGCCUUCUCUCGUGCUAAUCCUCAACAGCUGCCACAACCUGUUGAACAGAUGGAGCAACUUGCUGCUGCCAUUGCACAGGAGAAUGUUGGCAUUGCUUGUGCCUUCAUCCAAAAAAAUGCUGCUGAAAAAGCUGUAAAUGAAAUGGACAAAAGAUUGUCACAGGAAUAUGAGGCUCGCAAAGUAGCUCGAACAGAGGGACGCCGCUACUGUGAUCCAAUGAUUCUGACCUACCAAGUAGAACGGAUGCCUGAACAAAUACGCCUGAAAGUGGGCGGCAUCACCCCACCACAGAUGGCUGUGUAUGAAGAAUUUGCCCGUAACAUCCCAGGCUUUUUGCCCAUAACAGAUCAGGACACCAUGUUUUUGGCCAAACCAGUGCCUAUCAGUUCGCAACAGCAACAGCAGCAGCAACAGCAGCAGCAGCAACAGCAGCAACAGCAGCAACAGCAGCAACAACAACAGCAGCAGCAGCAGCAACAGCAACAGCAGCAACAACAACAGCAAGGGCCUCACACACAACAGCAAGCCUUUGGAAAUGAAGAAGCAACAGCAUUCCUUGUCCUGACAGAGAGAAUCAGUGCUGAACUAGAGCACACCAUUCAGACCUUCACUACCUUGGCUCCAAGCUCCCCACUGCUGUCCAUGCUUCAUUCCCUACGGGAAGGAUUGCUACUCACACGCACUAACAGAGAUGUCCACACUGCUCAAGUACUCUUGAGGAAGUGUGUUGACAACCUGAUUGAGGGAGCACGAGAAUUGCCUAGUGAACCUGAGCUUAACCAGUUGGCACUCCGCUUCAGAGACUGUCAUCUCAUAGUGCUCAAGGCCAUGGCUGAUCAUCGCUGUUAUGGUGUUCCCUGGACCUCAAAAAAUAUUACCAAGUGUUGGACAGAGGGGCGGGAUGAGGUUAAAUAUAACUUGGACGUGGUAGACUGGCUAAUCCGCUCCAGCCUGCUCAACCAUCAAAUUCUUGAUGAACAUCUCGCACGCACCCUUGAUGAUCCCCGAGUUCACUCCUACUUCCCCUCUCUCUUUGUGAUGCAGCUAGUCCAGAUGUAUCUUAUAGAUGACCCAAGCAAUAGUGUGUUGAGUGAGACCGACUUGCAGCUAACAUUGGAGGCUCUGGUACGUCUGUGCCACUCAAGGCAAGCUCCAGAGGGUCUUAUUGCUCUCAUUGAAGCUCUCCGCAUGAAGCAUGACUUGCUGACUGGGGAGCGCAUCCCUGGGAGCAACAGUCUCAGUAACUUGAACAAUCCUAUCUCUGCUGGGCCAAGUCUUCACUUCCAUUCUGGAGUGACACAAGCCAGGGACUUCCAGGAUCCCCCAGCACUGCAAGAAAAGACAGAGGUGCUGUUGCGUGAGUGGAUCAACAUGUACCACUCCCCCUCGGCUGGCCAGGGGUCUGCAUCAGCCUUCCAGCAUUUUGUUAAGCAGAUGAAUCUUCAUGGUAUUCUGAAGACAGAUGAUCUCAUUACUAGAUUUUUUAGAAUAUGCAUCAGUAUGUGUCGUGACCUGUGCGUGCGUUCCAUCCUGGAGCAAGGGCAGGGGCCAUCACCCACCUACGUACGCAGCAAAUGCUUCCAAAAUCUAGAUGCAUUUGUGCGGCUUAUUGCCUUAUUAGUCAAGCACUCAGGAGAAGCUACCAACCCUACAACAAAAAUAAACUUACUUAAUAAGGUUUUGGGCCUUGUUUGUGGGAUUAUGAUUCAUGAUAUAGAAUCCAACAGUACAGACUUCCAGCAGCUGCCAUAUCAUCGUAUCCUCAUUAUGCUCUUCCUGGAAUUGAAUGCUCCUGAAACAAUCCUCGAGUCAAUCAAUCUUCCGGUAUGUGAAGUGCUGAUGGCCUUCACCCAGACACUGCACCUGUUGCGGCCCAGCAAGUGCCCUGGGUUUGCUUAUGCUUGGCUGGAAAUUGUCAGUCACAGGGUGUUCAUAGGCCGCAUGUUGGCCAUCACUCCACAACAAAAGGGAUGGUCAAUGUACUCAAUGUUGUUGGCAGAUCUGUUCAAGUUUUUAGCUCCCUUCCUAAGAAAUGCAGAGCUAGCAAAGCCACUCACCAUGCUGUACAAGGGUACCCUGCGUGUGCUGUUGGUGCUGUUGCAUGACUUUCCAGAAUUCUUGUGUGAAUACCACUAUGGUUUCUGUGAUGUCAUCCCUCCAAACUGCAUUCAGAUGCGCAACCUCAUUCUUUCAGCAUUUCCUAGAAACAUGCGCCUUCCAGAUCCCUUCACACCAAACCUCAAAGUUGACAUGUUACCAGAGAUUACAGUGUCUCCCAAAAUCCACACCACUGUUGCAAACUUAAUCCAGCCCCCUGACUUCAAGAAGAAUUUAGAUUCCUACCUAAAGAACCGAACACCAGUCACAUUUCUCUCUGACAUGAGAACUUACUUGCAGCAGGUCUCUAGUGAGCCUGGAAUGCGGUACAACAUGUCGGUGAUGAAUGCCCUGGUUUUGUAUGUUGGCAUGCAGGCCAUUGCACAGAUCCACAGCAAGGGCCUCACUCCUUCCAUGUCCACCAUUGCACACUCCGCCCACAUGGACAUAUUUCAGAAUCUUGGUGUUGACUUGGAUACUGAAGGCCGCUACCUGUUCCUGAACGCCAUUGCCAAUCAGCUGCGCUACCCCAACAGUCACACUCACUACUUCAGCUGCACCCUCCUUCACCUCUUUGCUGAAGCCAAUACAGAAGCAAUCCAGGAACAGAUCACCCGAGUCCUGCUAGAAAGGCUGAUAGUGAACCGCCCACACCCAUGGGGACUCCUCAUCACCUUUAUUGAACUCAUCAAGAAUCCCUCAUUCAAGUUCUGGAGCCAUGAGUUUGUAAAGUGUGCUCCAGAAAUUGAGAACAGAUGCUGUGGUCAUGCCAGUAGGACAUAGAAGACAGGAGAGGCAAAGGGACAGAAGGAAGUGAAGGGAGGGAGAUGGAGGCAUGAGGUUGUUUGAAUCGGUGGCUCGGUCAUGCAUGGUCCAGAAAGUGUCUGCUGCCAGGGAGGGCGAGGCCUGACCACAGGUGCUGCACACAUACUGUUCCUCACAGGACACCUGACCACACGCAUCCCACCCUGUGCAGGCAGCAGUCGAAGCUUUAUAUUUUAGAAUGCAGGAUUUGAGAUUAUAUGGUAUAGGACUGUGUUGAUGUUGACUUUUGGUGCUCCAGAUAGGAGCCAAGAAAGUCAUUGUGACUUGCGGUGCUUGGCUGAAAGCUACUUGACAUAAAUGUUAAUAUGUGGUGACAUGAAUUUCUAAUAUAUAUAUAGAUAUAUAUAUAUAGUAUAUAUAUCAAUUCCUCGCUGAAGAUGGCUGUAAGACUUAGUUCUCUGAGGAAGAUAUGCCAGGUGCAGAUUAAUACAAACUUGGUUUUAUGAUGAAAAAUUUUCAUUAUACCUCAGAAUAUAGAAAUCUCUGAUAUUUAAGGGACCCAGGUGAUGUAUAACAUUACUGUAAAAUAUUGUUUGUUUUCAGAAUUUCCAGCAGUUAUUUUGUUUAUUUAUGAAAUUAAUUUGCUGUUACUGCUAUUCUUUGUGACACUGGAGCUUGUCAUUACAAUAUUGUUUAUGCUUUAUUUGGUAAUUGCAGCAUUUGAAGUGGUUAUAAAAUGCUGUAAAGGUAUGUGAUAAUCUUAAGUCAUUUACUUGAGGAUUAUAGUAAAAUUGAGUUGAUUUGGUGACUGGUAAAUUAUAUCAAUAGAAGACCAAUAACUGUAUAACCUACAAUAGUAAGGACCUUCAGACUGAAGUAAAAGUGCAUCUUAAAGGUUGUAAAUUUACAGAGGAAUCUGUAAUGACAGAGAUGUGUGUGUAAGACAAAGUAGCCAUAAACAGUGUGCCAGAGUGCAAAAAUGAGAAAAGAUACUAAUUCCAUUGAGUGAUAUGUACCUAUUUCCAUGUGAUCUUAACUUCCAGGGAAUUAUGUGAUGAGAUGUACCUAAGAUAUUUAGAUAUUAUAUGAUGUAGAUUUCUAUAUAAUGAUGAUGGCCUUUGCUGAGGAGCUUCUGCAGUAAUGAAGCAAGAAUCAAAGAAGCAAGUUCUUCACAAAGUGUUAGGUGUGUUUCUCCUUCAGCCUCCAAGGAUACAGGUGUGUGGCAAGGACUGCUGAGUGCCACCAGCAACUGAUGUUACCAAAGAGUUGAACAUGCCUUCAGCUUGACUGGUUCUCAGAGGCAUGGCAUCAUCCAUCUCUUGUGAUAGCACUUCGUACCAUAUGCAAAAGUAAUCAUGGGCGCAAAGCAUGUACAAACUCCACCCUCCUUCCUACUUAGGUUCAUAAUAUACUUGAAAGGCUGUCUAGUAGUUAAUGUAAGUAGUAUUAUCAUGUAGUAAAUAAGGUGCCCUUAUAUCCUGAGGCUUUUCAUCCUGCUGUAAAGUGUCUUCAUGGAGGGUGUUGGUGGCCGCAGUGGUGAAGAAGUGGGCUGGGUGGGCAGUACUGCCGUGGCCGCCUGCUCUGGUGUUCUCUCAAGGGUGGAGCAGGUCUUUGUCUUGGUGGAACUAUUGCACCCUGGAGGUGGUGUGUUGAAGCACAAAUCUGUGUUAGAUGUAAGAAUUGUAAACCUUCAGGUUGGGACAUAUUUUAGUAAGUGGACAAAAGCUUUGUGUCAGUGUGAAGGCAGUCAGGGAAACACUUUUCUCAGCAGCAGCAGCAGCAACAGCAGUUCCCCCACACCUGACAGCAACACUCUUCACUUACCUCGCUUGAAGGACUGCCACAGCUCUCUUAUGGCCAAGAAAUACAAAUCUAGUAUUGUUAAAAAUCAAUCACCAAUUUGUAUGAAAUUGUAUAGUAGAGUUGUUGAGGGACAGAGUGGAGGUGUUCGCAGGACCUCCUGUGGCUGUACAGUUCAAGUUUAUUUUUGUUGAUAAGGACUUCGUCUCAAGAUGUGCAGUUGAACAGUUUGUGUCAUAUUCUUUAGUCCAUUGUAGGUUAAGGAUGUGAAUAAAGGUCUUCUUGUAGCAAAGUGUAA